GGAAAUCGGAAGUAAAAUCAGAGGAGGCAGGGACAGAGGAGAAAUGGGAAGAGCCAGGGACCGGACCUUCUCUGGGAGGAGGCGAUGAAGCCGUCGACCUUGGGGGCAGCGAUGGUGGCGCCGAGCAGCAGGGCACCCACCACGAAUCCGGCGAUCUCACUGGACGUCAGCCCCUCCAUCUGCCCUGCACCAUCCAAAGCAAUUCCCCUCACUGGACUGGACUGGAUACGGAACUUGCAGCUCUACCGCAUACCAUCCAAAGCAAUGCUAAUUUUUUGCAUUGGCACUGUGCACUUGUACACAAACCGAACGACAGACCUACCUGCCGAGUGCCUUCUCUCGGCUUCUGCACGCCCACUCGCGCCGCCGUUCGUUGGACGACGAUGGAGAGGAUAAGAUUGGGCUCUGGGCCUUUUGAGGCUGCAUGUGGGCGGAAUGAGAUGGGCUGGCUGGGCCAACAUCCAGUUUGAGUUGUUGCAUUUGCAUCACGCAGUUGGAAAUAUUCUCUCAGCUGAUCAUGUCCAAGUUGUAUGCGAUGUCACUUAUCCAGCUCCCACUCAAAACAACGUCGUCUCUUACCGUUCUGUGCUUUCUCCUACUAUGAUUAUACAGGAGUUGAACAAGUUUGCAGGAGUCUGUCCAUUUAUCUGGUUUGAGUGCCAAAAGAA
rnacentral:misc_RNA from 1 species